UACGUAGGGUGCAAGCGUUGUCCGGAAUUACUGGGCGUAAAGGGCUCGUAGGUGGGCCAACUAAGUCAGACGUGAAAUCCCCUCAGCUUAACUGGGGAACUGCGUCUGAUACUGGAUGGCUUGAGUUUGGGAGAGGGAUGCGGAAUUCCAGGUGUAGCGGUGAAAUGCGUAGAUAUCUGGAGGAACACCGGUGGCGAAGGCGGCAUCCUGGACCAACACUGACACUGAUGAGCGAAAGCCAGGGGAGCAAACGGG
rnacentral:rRNA from 1 species